UACGGAGGGUGCGAGCGUUGUCCGGAAUCAUUGGGCGUAAAGGGCGCGUAGGUGGCCCCUCAAGCGUGCGGUGAAAGUCAGGGGCUCAACCCCUGAUCGGCCGUGCGAACUGGGGAGCUUGAGCACUGUAGAGGCAGGCGGAAUUCCGGGUGUAGCGGUGGAAUGCGUAGAGAUCCGGAAGAACACCGGUGGCGAAGGCGGCCUGCUGGGGUAAUGCUGACACUGAUGCGCGACAGCGUGGGGAGCAAACAGG
rnacentral:rRNA from 1 species